UACAGAGGGGCAAGCGUUGUUCGGAAUUACUGGGCGUAAAGGGCGCGUAGGCGGCCCGCUAAGUCGAACGUGAAAUCCCCGAGCUCAACUCGGGAACUGCGUCCGAUACUGGUGGGCUUGAAUCCGGGAGAGGGAUGCGGAAUUCCAGGUGUAGCGGUGAAAUGCGUAGAUAUUAGGAAGAACACCGGUGGCGAAGGCGGCCCACUGGCUCGAGUACUGACGCUGAGGUGCGAAAGCGUGGGGAGCAAACAGG
rnacentral:rRNA from 1 species